rnacentral:rRNA from 1 species
UACGGGAGGCAGCAGUGGGGAAUAUUGCACAAUGGGCGCAAGCCUGAUGCAGCCAUGCCGCGUGUAUGAAGAAGGCCUUCGGGUUGUAAAGUACUUUCAGUCGUGAGGAAGGUGUUAAGGUUAAUAACCUUAGCAAUUGACGUUAGCGACAGAAGAAGCACCGGCUAACUCCGUGCCAGCAGCCGCGGUAAUACGGAGGGUGCGAGCGUUAAUCGGAAUUACUGGGCGUAAAGGGCACGCAGGCGGUUAAUUAAGUUGGAUGUGAAAUCCCCGGGCUUAACCUGGGAAUGGCAUUCAAGACUGGUUAGCUAGAGUCUUGUAGAGGGGGUAGAAUUCCGAUGUGUAGCGGUGAAAUGCGUAGAGAUGUGGAGGAAUACCGGUGGCGAAGGCGGGCCCCCUGGGACAAAGGACCUGACGGCUCAUGUGCGAAAGCGUGGGGAGCAAACAGGGAUUAGAU